CCGAGAUAGGGGUACAAGUUCUGCAGUAUUGCGUUCCUCUGGACCUAAGCAACGACCUGAAAGGGUAGCGACGAUUCUCGGCGUUAGUGGGGAGAGUGCUAGACGUAGUGUCUCCACUGACG
ncrna:unclassified sequences Flavobacterium-1 RNA